GAAGUGAGAGAUGACUUCACCUAUGAUCUCUAAGACUGACUAAACUGAUCAGGGUUGUUAGAUAUUCCCUUCCUCCAUUCUGUCUUCAUUCAUGUUCCUUCAAAGUCAUGUCCUCAUUGAAGAGGAUGACCUUCCCCAUCAGAAGAAGGCCAUUCUUCAAUCAAAGAUAUGUGAAUCUAUACCAUUCACUGGCAUAAUUAAUGAUAAGCACUGAUUAAAAGUAGCAGAAAACCAGAAAUGCCUAUCAAAUGUGGUUAAUAGUUCUGCUUCUGCAAUAAAUAUU
rnacentral:snRNA from 1 species